UACGUAGGAGGCGAGCGUUGUCCGGAAUUACUGGGCGUAAAGCGCGCGUAGGCGGCUCGUUGCGUCGGGCGUGAAAGCUCCCGGCUUAGCUGGGAGAGGGCGACCGAAACGGGCGAGCUUGGAGGCUGGUAGGGGUUGGCGGAACGCCCGGAGUAGCGGUGAAAUGCGUUGAGAUCGGGCAGAACACCAGUGGCGAAGGCGGCCAGCUGGGCCAGACCUGACGCUGAGGCGCGAAAGCCAGGGGA
rnacentral:rRNA from 1 species